CAUCGGAAGCCGAACAAAAGCAAUUCGAAAGGUCUUGGUGUUCGAACAACUUCUAUGCAAUAAGUUUUUGCCGAGAGGACAUGGUGCAGUUCUUUUGCAAUCGAUAGAUUGAAAUUGUUGUUGUGUUGAAAAGUAGGAUUUGAAGCUAUAAAUACAAACUACACUAUAUCUGACUAUAA